rnacentral:misc_RNA from 1 species
UUGAAUUUUAAUGAAGAGUUUGGUUGUAGCUGGCCCAUUCAUUUGGGCAUGUGCACACCUUCCUCUUUCAUCCCACACACACCUGUGAACCUGUGAGACAGAGAUGGGGAAUUUACUUGCUGCUUUUUGGAAUACAAAGGCAAUAGGUUACUGGACCCCCCCUCUGUCUACUCAAUUAAUAUAAACUCAAUUUAUUUUAAAACGAAUGUAAUGGAUGUAACACAUCUCAUAC